rnacentral:rRNA from 1 species
AUGACCUUUUUUCUUGUUGAUUUCAUUAGAUGGUUAACAUUCCAAGCUUGUGCUUAUAGAGGCCAUGAUGAAUCUCCGGGAUCAAGUAAUCAGGGUAAUUUUCUUCAUCUGGUGAGGUUCUUGGCUUCUUAUAGCAAAGAGGUGAAUGCGGUUGUUUUGGAAAAUGCUCCAAGGAAUGCGAAGUACACCUCCCAUACAGUGCAACUAGAAAUCCUCACAUUACUUUCUAGUAGAGUUAAGGAAAAAAUUAGAUAUGAAAUUGGUACUAGCAAGUUCUGCAUAAUGGUAGACGAAGCACGAGAUGAAUCAAAGAAAGAGCAAAUGGCAUUGGUUCUUCGAUUCCUGAGCACCGAGGGGUUCAUACAGGAGCGUUUUCUUGAUAACCAAACAAAUGAUAUUCUUGUUGAUAUUUUGGUAGGCCGCCCUUCUAAGGGCGUUACUCUAUUGCUUCUCCUCUGGUGUCAUUCGUUGCCUGGCUUCUCUUUGACGGGCAGUCCUCUCCUCCUCUGUUUUUUCCUAGCUUCUCUGCGACGUGCAUUGAUUUCCUCCUUCUAUUCAGGUGUUAAUCUAUUUCGCCGUGCUAUAUAUUGGUCUCGCCUUUUCUUUUUUCUGUCUCAUUUAAUGAUACCAUUUGAAGCAAUGUGUUCGGGGACAGUGUCUUCAGUGUCGAGUCGAGUGAUAUAUCCGAACCAAUAUUAUGAUCAAUGA